rnacentral:lncRNA from 1 species
CAUAUUCAUAUAAAUAUUCGAGCGAUACCGAGACUGCAUUUCUGGGGAGAAGAUAAACUGAAGAGGAAGAUCCAUAAAUUGAAACAGCCGGGGGUCUUUAAUGGAGCCAAUGUAAGUGUCAAGAUAGUAGUUAAUAUAAAAUUUUAUACCUAUUUUUGAUUGUCGUUAUUGUUAUAUAGGUUGAAAUGAUUGUUGAAUUCGGUUUUGAUUUCCAAGGCGUCUAUGGAGGAUAAAAGAAACUCACUUAUGGAUAAAGAGGAUGACUGAUUUAGAAGAAUCCUAUAAAAAGUUGAAAGAUAGAUGUAAAGUGGUCGGUGAGUCAGUGAUUGCCUUGUCACGAUUAUUGGAAGUAUGUGCAAGGAGUAAUUGUUAGUGAAAUAAGAAGGCUAAUAGAGAAAUUUGAUAAUGAAAAGUCUUGUGAUUAUAGAAACAAGACGAAAUUAAAUAUUC